UUAUUUUUUUUUCAUUUAAAGAACUAAAGAUUCGACUUGUUGAUGGCAAUGCCCGUCGUAGUGGUAGAGUAGAAGUUUCUUUAGAUGGACAUACAUGGGGCACAGUGUGUAACGACUUAUUUACUGAUUCUGCAGCCACAGUUGUUUGUAAAAUGCUAAAUUACCCAACAACAUCUGCUAGUUCCAACGUUAGUGUACCAGCAGGAAAAGAUCCAAUUUUCCUCGACGACGUCUUCUGUACAGGUUAUGAGAGCAAUUUGUUGUUUUGCAAGCAUAACGGCUGGGGAAAAAGUAACUGUAAACAUGAUGAAGAUGUCGGAGUAUCAUGUUAAUGUAGAUUUGUCAAUUAAUAAUGAUACAGUUCAGUGGUUUUUAAAUGUUCUAUAGUAUUGUAAACUUUUAAAAUAUAGAAAGAUGAAGAGUUUCAAAGAUAUUAUUCUAAAUACCCGAGAAAACAUACAUGUAACAAUUAAAUAAGAAAUUCAAGUAAAAGUGUACAAAUCUUAUAAAUACGCUUGUAAUAAUAAUUUGCAAUAUUGGUAUUUGUAUAAUAAAGUUGUAUUUUCUUCUGUACAAGUACAGAUAAUCGCUAGGAAGAUUUAUUUACCACUAAGUAAGGUCAUUUAACAUUGUUGUUUCUCGCUGAUCAGAUAUAUUUAAGUGUCCUAUUGAAACAAUAAGUAGUAUUGUAUUCAGUAAAGAAGUUCUUUUUAAACUUUGGUGGAUUUCCUGUUGAUGUAUAUAAUGAGGCGGAUCAAGUGUCAAUUGAAUACAUCAAAUACAUGUACAUGAAUAGUGUACAUGUAUAUGAAUAUUGUAAAUUUAAAGGCACAUUAUACCAUAGAAACAAAGUUGUUGUUUUUUUGUUCUUAAGAAAAGGCCAACAUGAGUUUUUAACGUUUAAAUAAUGGUUCUAGAGCACUUUAGAUGCAUAUCACCUGUGAAAAUUAGCACUGAAUAUGAAUUAAUUUGUUUAAAAAGUAGCAAAAUGUAAACAAAUUAGUAUUUUUACUUCAAUACAAAAUCACUUAUAUCUUUUAAUUACUAAUUGCUAUACUUUUACUAAUUCAGAAUCAAAGGAUCCCUCAGAAAAUUAGUCACUGACUAACAUUUUGAAGAUUGUACCAGGAUACAAAUAAUAAUAAAAGCAUUUCCGACACAUAAUAGACCUUAAGGAGUGUAUAAAGGUUCCCAGCCCGAUGUGAAGUUAAACUGAAGUUACUAUGGUGACAUUUCUAUCACUUAUAUUACUGAACAAAAGCUGAACUAACAAACUUCUACACAUUAAUUAUAUUUUCGUCGAUAGCCAUUAUCAAAUUCCAGCUUUAACACUUUUAGACAAUUUCUAAUAUUUCAUGAAAAAAAAACGAAUCUGGAGGCGUUGCUUUAAAAAAAUGCUUUAAGUACUUCGUGACGUGAUCUAAAUCGUGAUAAAAUUGAAGUGUAAACUUACUCUUUCUUUAACGGAAAUUUUAUCGGCCCACCACGACUUUUUUGUUAGUGGUAAGUCUUGCUCUUUAUAUUAGACACUGGAGUUGUAAAUGUUUUGCCCUUUUAAACAGUAGAAAUGUUCGUCUCUUAAACAAGCUUUCGACUUAGUGUAGCAGUAAUCCCACCUUUUUCUCAUAUCACUUAGUGUUCCUAAAUAUAGAAGCAAUUUUGAUAUGAGUUAUGGUAAACAUAUUAACACAGGGAUAUAAAUCAAGAUCCCGAAAAGUGUAUGCUCGUCUAUACGGUACAUUCCGGUGGCGAGGACUUUCCAUCCACCAACACAAACGCACGCACACAAGCACACACAAUAUGCUUUAGUACAUUACAAACCCUGUACGUGUUCAAUGAUUUUGCAAAAUAUGUGUUUCAAAGCUUUUCAAAGUAUUUCCUGAAAUGCAUGAAAAUUGUUUGUUAUUCGGCAAGAUGUUUGCUUAUAAAGUGAAAAGGUAGUUUCAAUGGAGCUUAAUCUGGCACAUUUGUUUAGAAUUAUUCAAAGUCCUAUGGAAUCAGUAAAUGUAUAUUAUUAUUAUUAUUAUUAUUAUUGUUAUUAUUAUUAUUGUGUAUCAUCUUAUGUUUGCUGUAAAAUCCAUGUUUUGAUCUCCAAACAUUGUAUAUAAUACACUUUAUACUUGUUAUGAGCAUUAUAUUUUUCCGUUAUGCAAAUAAACCUUUCGUAUUCGUA